GCCUCCUUCACUUGGAUAGUGUCAAGCUUGGUAAAAAAAGAUUCGUAGACGAGCAGAGAAGAUAGGCGUUGUAUUCAAGGCGCACUCUACUAAUUUGAACAGAGCUGUUGUCAUUCAUCCAACUGUGUCAUGAUGAAAGCUUCGACAUUAGUUUUGUUGCUCUUGGUAGUAACUUUGCUCUCAUCUGUAAGAUUUUCUUUUGGAUACCCGAAGAUAUUUAAAAAGAUACCAGCGAACGGAAAGUCCCCAUUGCAAUCGCGGAGUGUGUCCUCCGAUCAAGAUAAACAUGCCGUCGAACAACCCACUGACCUACCUUGCGUCGACGAACAAGACAGAUACCACUGUUUUUACGACAUAGUGAUGGCAGAUGCGUGUGAAACAAAAGUGGAGGAGAUGUGGAAAAAUUGCAGAUACUCUUGCAGUUAUUGCUAGGUGAACUCACGAACACACGACUCUCUUGCUAGCUUGCCAUUAGAGAUACUAUCAAAACAGCCAUCGGAAUCGCUAUAUUUAUAAAUAAUUGGAAAGAAGUAAAGAGUAAACUUGUUAAAUUAAUCAGCUGGCGUAUACAUCUUUGAAUUUAAAUAUAUCAUUCAUCUGAAA